rnacentral:rRNA from 1 species
CCUACGGGAGGCAGCAGUGAGGAAUAUUGGUCAAUGGCCGUAAGGCUGAACCAGCCAAGUCGCGUGAAGGAAGAAGGAUCUAUGGUUUGUAAACUUCUUUUAUAGGGGAAUAAAGGUAUCCACGUGUGGAUAGUUGCAGGUACCCUAUGAAUAAGCAGCGGCUAACUCCGUGCCAGCAGCCGCGGUAAUACGGAGGAUGCGAGCGUUAUCCGGAUUUAGUGGGUUUAAAGGGUGCGUAGGUUGUUUUUUAAGUCAGCGGUGGAAGGUUGUGGCUCAACCAUAAAAUUGCCGUUGAAACUGGAAGACUGUAGUGUGUUUGAGGUAGGCGGAAUGCGUGGUGUAGCGGUGAAAUGCAUAGAUAUCACGCAGAACUCCGAUUGCGAAGGCAGCUUACUAAGCCAUAACUGACACUGCAGCACGAAAGCGUGGGGAUCAAACAGGAUUAGAUACCCCAGUAGUC